GACGAACGCUGGCGGCGUGCUUAACACAUGCAAGUCGAACGGGUCUGCCCUGUUUUUUGCGGGGUGGGUCAGUGGCGACCGGGUGAGUAACACGUGAGUAACCUGCCCCUCACUUCUGGAUAACCGCUUGAAAGGGUGGCUAAUACGGGGUGUUCUGGCUGUGCCGCAUGGUGUGGCUGGGAAAGAUUCACUUUUGUGGUGUUUUGGUGGGUGAUGGGCUCGCGGCCUAUCAGCUUGUUGGUGGGGUGAUGGCCUGCCAAGGCUUUGACGGGUAGCCGGCUGGGGGGGUGGGGGGUUACAACGGGGACGAGAGACCGGCCAGACUCCUGCGGGAGGCAGCAGUGGGGGGUAUUGCACAAUGGGCGGAAGCCUGAUGCAGCGACGUCGCGUGAGGGAUGGAGGCCUUCGGGUUGUGAACCUCUUUCGCCGGUGAAGAAGGUCCUGCUCUUUGUGGUGGGGUUGACGGUAGCCGGGUUAUGAAGCGCCGGCUAACUACGUG
rnacentral:rRNA from 1 species